GAUGAACGCUAGCGGCAGGCUUAACACAUGCAAGUCGAGGGGUAGAAGUUGCUUGCAACUUUGAGACCGGCGCACGGGUGCGUAACGCGUAUGCAAUCUACCUUAUACAGAGGGAUAGCCCAGAGAAAUUUGGAUUAAUACCUCAUAGUAUAAUUGAAUGGCAUCAUUUAAUUAUUAAAGUUCCAACGGUAUAAGAUGGGCAUGCGUCCUAUUAGCUAGAUGGUAAGGUAACGGCUUACCAUGGCAACGAUAGGUAGGGGUCCUGAGAGGGAGAUCCCCCACACUGGUACUGAGACACGGACCAGACUACUACGGGAGGCAGCAGUGAGGAAUAUUGGACAAUGGGCGCAAGCCUGAUCCAGCCAUGCCGCGUGCAGGAAGAAGCAUCUAUGGUGUGUAAACUGCUUUUGUACGGGAAGAAACACUCCUUCGUGAAGGAGCUUGACGGUACCGUAAGAAUAAGGAUCGGCUAACUCCGUGCCAGCCGCCGCCUAACAC
rnacentral:rRNA from 1 species